GGAGCCUGAUCCAGCCUCCCGCGUGUAUGGAUGAAGGCCUUCGGGUUGUAAGUACUUUUGGCAGAGAAGAAAGGUAUCCCCUAAUACGGGAUACUGCUGACGGUAUCUGCAGAAGAAGCACCGGCUAACUACAUGCCAGCAGCCGCGGUUAUACGUAAGGUGCAGGCGUUAAUCGGAAUUACUGGGCGUAUAGCGUGUGUAGGCAGUUCGGAAAGAAAGAUGUGAAAUCCCAGGGGUCAACCUUGGAACUGCAUUUUUAACUGCCGAGCUAGAGUAUGUCAGAGGGGGGUAGAAUUCCGCGUGUAGCAGAGAAAUGCGUAUAUGUGUGGAGGAAUACCGAUGGCGAAGGCACCCCCUGGGAGAAUACUGACGCUAACACACAAGGGCGUGGGGAGCAAACAGGAUUAGAUACCCUGGUAGUCCACGCCCUAGGCGAUCUCUCCUAGCUUUGGGGCCGUUAGGCCUUAUAGCGCAGCUGACGCGUGAAGUAUGACCGCCUGGGGAGUACGGUCGCAAGAUGACACUCACAGGAUUGACGGGGACCCGCACAAGCGAGUGGAUGAUGUGGAUUAUUCGAUGCAACGCGUAGAACCUAUACCUACACUUGACAUGUCUGGUAGCCGAAUAGAUUUGGCCGUGCUCGCACGAGAACCGGAUCACACGUACUGCAUGGCGUUUGGGAAACAACUG
rnacentral:rRNA from 1 species